UAAUUGAAGAGUUUGAUCAUGGCUCAGAUUGAACGCUGGCGGCAGGCCUAACACAUGCAAGUCGAACGGUAGCACAGGGGAGCUUGCUCCCCGGGUGACGAGUGGCGGACGGGUGAGUAAUGUCUGGGAAACUGCCCGAUGGAGGGGGAUAACUACUGGAAACGGUAGCUA
rnacentral:ncRNA from 1 species